AUAUCAAUAAGCGGAGGAAAAGAAACCAACCGGGAUUGCCCUAGUAACGGCGAGUGAAGCGGCAACAGCUCAAAUUUGAAAUCUGGCCUCUGGCCCGAAUUGUAAUUGGCAGAGGAUGCAUCGGGGGCGGCCCUGUUCCAAGUCCACUGGAACGUGGCGUCCUAGAGGGUGAGAAUCCCGUACGCGAGCGGUGUCCGCUCCCAUGUGAUGCUCCUUCGACGAGUCGAGUUGUUUGGGAAUGCAGCUCUAAAUGGGUGGUAUAUUUCAUCUAAAGCUAAAUACCGGCCAGAGACCGAUAGCGAACAAGUAGAGUGAUCGAAAGAUGAAAAGCACUUUGGAAAGAGAGUUAAACAGUAC
rnacentral:rRNA from 1 species